UCCCACCUUCUUCCAUCAGGACCCAUUCUCAGGAGUCUAGUGGUCUUGGUAACAGCCCUAAUCUCCUUUUUCUGUGUUUUCCCUAGAAGGGUGCAGGACCCUAGAGGUUGCCUGGGCUCAGGGACUGCUGUAAGGGUGGAUCUCAGAGCAUCCUAUGGUUACAGGAACUUGGGAGGAGAUAAGAAAAAAGAAGAGAAGAGGAGAGGAGGCAAACACUCAUUGGGCGUUGUAUUCGUCUGUUUUCAUGCUGCUGAUAAAGACAUACCCAAGACUGGGUAAUUUAUAAAAGAGGUUUAAUGGACUCACAGUUCCAUGUGGCUGGGGAGGCCUCGCAAUCAUGGCAGAACGUGAAUGGCACGUCUUACAUGGCAGC
rnacentral:lncRNA from 10 species